GUGUUGUUUGAAAGGAGAGAAGAUCAGCACGCCCCUUGACAAGGAUGGAAGAUGCCCUUGGCCUGGUAAUAUGCAUAUGGUUAAGGCCUUGCCAACUGCUCCGCGCCAGGUAACCAUUGUCCUUU